CCAUUUGUACUUUUUGUGGAUUUGAGUCUGGUUAAUAAAAAGACUGGAAGCUAAUCAUUAUAAGUUCAUUUUUCUUUUCAACGAAGCACGUUGGCGCUUGCUUAGCUUUUCGAGGACUCUUAACUUGGAAUUUACAACAUAGAAUAUAAACAUGAGCUACAAUGGAAAUGACUAUCAAAACUACUCUGAUGAUACUCGUGAGUCUGAAGCAAUGCGAAAAAUGUUUGUUGGGGGUCUAAAUCGAGAUACAACUGAAGAAACAUUUUACAAUUAUUUUAGUCAAUUUGGUCCCACAGAAGAUAAAGUUAUUAUCACUGAUCCACAUACACAUCAAUCAAGAGGUUUUGGUUUUGUUACAUUUGAAAAGUCUGAGUCAGUGGAAAAUGUUUUUUCUAGUCGACCACAUAUUAUUGAUGGUAAAACUGUUGAUGUCAAAAGAGCCAUGCCAAGAGAGAUAAAUACUCCUGGAGCUCAUAUUAAAACAACAAAGUUGUUUGUUAGCGGCUUUAGAGGAAUUGAUCUUGAACCAGCAGAACUUCAAGAUUACAUAGAAAAGCGUCAUGACACCAAAUUUGGGCGAAUAGAAAAAAUUGAUCUGUUAAAAGAUAGGGAAACAGGUCAAUUAAAAGGAUUUGGUUUUAUAGAAUGUAAUGACUCAGAUUUUGCUGAUCGGUUAUGCAUAUCAGAAACAUCCUUUGAACUUAAAGGAAGGACUCUUUCAAUAAAAAAAGCUGAGCCCCAAAAUAAUGCUGGUGGUAAUACAGGUGGCGGUGGUGGUGGUCAUCAAAAUGUUGGAGGAGGUGGUCCUAUGCGAGGUGGACGAGGUGGUGGUCCUAUGCGAGGUGGUAGCAGUGGAGGAAGAGGUGGAAGUGGAGGGCGAGGUGGAAGCGGCCCAAGAGGUGGUGGUGGCCCACGGGGUGGCAGCAGAGGUGGAUAUAAUCAAAAUAGUGGUUACCAAAGCAACAAUUAUGCUUCAGAUGACAACUACUCUACUUCUUACCCCGGUUAUAAUCAAAAUCAAGGUGGUUACCAACAAGGUGGUUAUCAGCAACAAAGCUAUCAACCUCCACAAUAUGGUGGUUAUCAACAAAAUUAUCAACAGUCUUCUGGAGGAUAUGGACAACAAAAUGCUAAUUAUGGACAACCCCCAGGUGGAUAUAAUCAAGGUCCGUCGUAUGGACAAGGAGGGUAUCCAAGUCGAGGAGGAAACCAACAACGAUACCAACCUUAUUAAUUUAUGUGUAAAAUCAGGAAGUAUAUUUGAACUGGUUUGUAAUCCGAGUUAAAGUUUCGCUAUCACUGACUUUCACCUAAUAAUUUUUUAAGCAAUUUACCGCCUAAUGGUUACCUUUUCUGACACUUAAUAAACGAUGAUGUUAAAAGAGGAGGCAAUGAGGCUCAAUUACCAAUUUCAAAAAUAAAAAGUAGACGUUUUCUAAAGAAUACUAAUACAAAAUAUUUGAGUAAUUUUUGUAACUCAGGUUGAGCCUAGGUGAGCCAGAUAAAGUUAGUAUUUGCAUAUUGCAUUUACUACCAUGGUA